AGCAGCCGCGGUAAUUCCAGCUCCAAUAGCGUAUAUUAAAGUUGUUGCAGUUAAAAAGCUCGUAGUUGAAUUUCGGGGUUAGUAGGUUGGUCAUGCCUCUGGUAUGUACUGGUCUCACUGAUUCCUCCUUCCUGAUGAACCUUAAUGCCAUUAAUUUGGUGUUUUGGGGAAUUUGGACUGUUACUUUGAAAAAAUUAGAGUGUUUAAAGCAAGCUAACGCUUGAAUACAUUAGCAUGGAAUAAUGAAAUAGGACGUUCGAUCCUAUUUUGUUGGUUUCUAGGAUUGACGUAAUGAUUAAUAGGGAUAGUUGGGGGCAUUAGUAUUCAAUUGUCAGAGGUGAAAUUCUUGGAUUUAUUGAAGACUAACUACUGCGAAAGCAUUUGCCAAGGAUGUUUUCAUUAAUCAAGAACGAAAGUUAGGGGAUCGAAGACGAUCAGAUACCGUCGUAGUCUUAACCCAUAAACUAUGCCGACUAGGGAUCGGAUGAUGUUUAAAUUUUUAAUGUACUCAUUCGGCGCC
rnacentral:rRNA from 1 species